CACCCGUGAAAAUAUCUCCUCUCCCUUGCCUUCUCUCACGUGCUCUCCCCUCCCCUGAUCCCCUCCUUCCCUACCGUCACGCCGCUGGCUCCACGCAGCGGCCGACGCGGCCUUCUCUCCCCGGCGCUUGAGGUACAGCAGCGGCUGCGGCACUUCUCGGCCCAGCCGGAUCCGGUGCAGGUCGCCGGCAUCACGCGCCGCGUGCCGUGAUUCUGGAUCGGGCGCAGAUCUUGCCACCUAUCCUCCUCUCUCUCUCCCAUGUCGCCAUUGUUGCAAGGAGCAGGGGAGAUAGGUGCUGAGGACAAGAAGCAACGGGUUGGUCAGGGUGGGCUUGAGCUGCUGGGGAGAUGGAGGAGGCCGUCGUGGUUCGUCAUGGAGGCGGCGCCGCCGGCAAGCUGGUUGAGCACAGAGGAAUGAGGAAUGGAUACAUGAGGCAUGGCGUAAGCGUAGGGGUCAGCCAGGGCACGACGCAAGAGUCUGCCCAUCUCCUCUCAAACACGAAAGGCACUAAUGCGUCCCGAAAACCUAGCGCACAAAGGACCAAUCCUUCCCUUCCUCGAGCCCCAUUCGAGUCCGCGCCGUUCAGCAUCUCCAGCCUCCCCUGCUCCUCGACCCUCCGGCCCCACGGCCUCUCGCGCCGCCGCCUUCUUCCCUGGACGUCUUCCCCGACGCUCGUGGUGCAGCAGCGGCCAUUGCAGUAGCCGCUGGAACUGAUGGAUAUUGACAUGGGUAACAAAAUAGUUGAAAGAUUUUGUACCGACGAGGCUCUUGAGACUACAAACAUUUCUUCACUCCUUGUACGAAAGGAUUCUAGGAGUAAGUUAUAGGAUUUUAUAUUUUAGUCGGAUAUUCCUUCUGUUAAUAUGUGCUCCUGUGCAAUUUUUCAUAGGCUUCUCUUUCCUUUUUCUGGUUACGAUUUACAAAGCUGAGCAAUAGUUUCUCUACUAAUAUAACUUGUGUGAAAAACAUCCGUCUUUAGGAUGCUUUUGCGGCAUGUGUAACUGCCUCACAUUAGCCUAUGCUUCUAUCCGAGUUGUUUACUACUAAGACCAUAAUGGAUCAUGCUUUUUAACUGGCAUAUAAGUGCUGAUGGAAAAUGAUGUCUUAUUUUUUGCCUGGUAAAUUUUAAUUGGCGCAUGCAAUCCAUGCUUCCCAGUCUUUGGUGACAAUGUUGUCAGGCCUAAAAAUAGAAGUUUUCGAUUUCCUCUCUCUGGUUUUUAGUUGGUUAGAUGUUAAUGCGUGGAAAUGUAUAUGCUGAUUUUUUUCCUGUUUUAAUAAAUUGCUAAUACGUGGAUCUUGUCUGCUUGCUUCAAAACUAAAAUGUGACUUUUACUUGCCUAUUACCAAAGAAGAUUUCAUGCAUGCCACAUCAAGUCGCCAUAGAUGCCUCCAAGUGAAAUUUCAGCGACGACAAGAUUUGGCAUCAUAUUGCCCAGUAACUGAAUAUGCACGCAGGAGGAUCACUCUGGAUGAUGGAAAAUGCAUUAUCCGUGCUUAAUACUAGACGGAAACAAAAUUUCUCUUCCUACUAUGUCUGUACCAUGAACAAGAUGUUCGCAACAAGUGGUCAACAAAUGGUAUUCUGUUCCUGUCCUUUCUCCUUUUUAUGAAUCUUCAUAGCUGCAUCUUAACCAUGCUUAAUAUCUAUUGCAGUACUUUUCCACUCACUUCACACAAGAAUAUCUCAAGGGGCACAUGCAUGAAGAGCAUACUAAUUUGCUGAUCAAAGCUGGAAACAGACCUGCCAUCGUCAUUGCUCGGCUUAUCAUACAAUCACAAGAAGCUGGACUCAGUUCUUUGACAUCGCAAAUAUGAAAGGAGGAGUGUCAUAUGCAUUUGCCUUUGAGGAAUUGGCGGGAGAACUCAUAUCAUCGUGCACUCCCUUUGAUAGCGUCAUGAGCAACCACUGCCAUCAUCUCAUAAUAUAGCUCAGGUUCAAGACCUAGGUCAUGCACUACUUUUCUCGACCAUAUAAUGUGCUCUGCGUCACCUUAUCCUUUCAGCUCCAGUACUUCAUAAUAUAGAGUAGAUGAAACAUCUUUUUAAAUUGGUGUGGAAAUACCAAUGCAGAUGGAGCUAUGUAAUCCAGCUUGCUUUCUAUCAUGAGUUGGUCUCAUGACUUUGUUUUUAGCCAUCUUGGUACCAUGCAAUGGAAUAUAUAACACUAUGUUUGAACAUCGUAUCUAAAUAUUAUCUAAACACUCU